AUUCAGCAAGAAAGAAACUCCCAUCUGCAUACCAGCUUCAGAAAUGGCAAACCUGGAAUUUCAGACUUCAGCAGCAGUGAAACUCUGCUGGAAGAUAUGGCUCCAAUUUCCAUGCCGGAAGCAAUGUGCUGGGGGAUACCCUCCUCCCACCUCCCACCAGGACUUGUUAACAGCAGGUGAUCUAAAGAAUAGUUUUCUUAUAACAAAUGAUGCAGUGCAACAGAACCUACAUUCAAGCAGUAAGAGCAGCUCAUGUAACUCUGUGCUGAUGGUGACUUCUGAGUACUCUGGAUGCAAGCUGGAGCCAGAUGUUGGAGCCAUUUGA
rnacentral:lncRNA from 1 species